GGACAUUUAGCUCAGUAGGUAGAGCAACCGGCUCAUAACCGGUCGGUCCUGGGUUCGAGUCCCAGAAUGUCCACUA
rnacentral:tRNA from 1 species